CCACAGCGUUUCAUUCUUCUCCCUGCCCGGAACGCCUCUAGCUGCUAUUUGGGACAACCUAGCCCCAUGGAGCCGUCUCCUCCUUGUCCCUUCCUCGCUCAUCGUUCUGGGCAUCUGCGGCCCGGACACAUGUCCUCUGCAGCCAAGCUGCCUGAGACCUGCUCUCCUUACAAAAGAAUCCGUUUCCACUAAACCCCUGAGCGUUUCACAUGUCGUCAUUAGAAAGCCUCUUGUUUACUCAUCUUCUUUAGUUUAUUUGCCCAGUCCACAAAAAUAUUUGGUCGGCGUGACUUCCUGUAACCAAAUGUGGGUGCCCUGCCGAAAGGUAUCAAGCCGCCUGUACUUUGAUGAGGCUGUGGCUGGGGCCGACCGCCAUUUUGAAACAAGCACAGACCACAAGAAUGCUGGGCAGGGCCUACCCCCUGCAACUGUAACCAGGUUUCAGCGCCGUGGGACCCAUGAAUCACAGGCGUCUGGAGAGAAGUAUCAAGCAGAACAGGGGAAAAACUCAAUCAUCGUCUUGGAGAGUCGUGAUGAGCUGCGGAUACCCCAAGAAUGGACAGGAAGGGCUCCAUCCCGGAGGCCCUGGUUUACCAGCCACAGCGACGGUCUCUGCUCCUGCUCCCAGGCAACAUUCAGAUCUUCAGCGUUUCUUCACAGAGAUUCUUCCCCAGAGGAAGCAGCUUGCCAAUGGGCCUGUGUUCCUGCCUCUCUCCAGCAGCCCAGGCUCAGCGAAAACAGCUUCUCUUGCGAGCUGAAACUUACCCAAACGAACCAGGAAUAAAAACUUUUAGAAGCAAACGUAACCUUUGGAGCUGCUUGGUAAAUAUUGGGUCUGUUUACUACAGAGGCCCAGAUGUGCCAAAACCAGCAAACAAACAGGAAGGCGGGAAAACGGCCAAUGUGCAGACUAAACUGUAUAUGAAUAUGUGUCAUACGUACGUUGCAUAUGUGUGCGUGUGGGUAUAUCCGUGGUGAUUCUCAAAGGCUAAGAAAUGUCCCCGUGGGAAGUGUCAUUGUCAAUGGAUUGUUCCAAGUAGUCUAUCUUCAGGAUCUACUCCCCUAAGAGUGUCCCAUCCACCUGAUAAAUCACCUGUUUGGACAAUGCCUGUUUCAUGGUCAGUGAUGAAAGAUAUUUGGGGUAACUCCCUUGGUGAAAUUAGCCCCAAAGCGUUUCUUAUUCUUCUUACUCUAUCCCUGAACCAAAAGAAAUUCCACUCCAAGGCUCCGUAGGUUCUUGGGUGAGGCACUUUGGAAACCUUCCAAGGUGGUCAGGCCAUUACAGGAAAACGUUCUCCUCCUCACCAAGCAGCAGCCGCUGGGCGGGGCAGCCCUCCCAAGGCCUCGUCCCAGGAAAAGCCUCCUUUUGUUGUGUCUGCUUCCUGUCCCCAGAACAAUGCCCGAGGCAGCCAGCCUUAGAGAAUAGGAAGUCCCCACCACUCCCAUGCCAGGAUGGGAUGCAGGGAGACCUACCUGCCUUUUGUCCCGUGUCCCGCAUUUACCCCAACCAACCGCAGGAGAGAAAGAUCCCUGGUGUAUACACAGCCCGGGACAAAUGACAACAUUCAAAUUCUCCUUUCCUCCACCAGCAUUUGUACCCUCUUGACGUGUGCCUACAAUGAACGUGGGAGAAGAGAGGAGAGAGCCGAGGUGUCGUGGAAGGGAUUUUAGACAUCAGAGGACUCCAGGUCUGAUCCCAGCUCCGCCAGUGGGCCAUCAGUAUGACCUGAGACCAAGGCUUCCCCUCCCAGACCCCCAUUUCUUUAUCUCAGUGGUGAAAGGUUGAACCAAAUGACCUCCUGUCCUCUGACUCUUAGGGAGCUUCGUCUUUCCGUGGCACCCAUGCUGGUCUGGACAGAACUGGAGGGUGUAGAGUUUGAGCAGCACCUGUGUUUACACUGUACAAUCUGCAGUUUACUGUAAUAAAAUCAUUUAAUACACUCA
ensembl:lncRNA